rnacentral:lncRNA from 1 species
ACCCUCCGGCAGAACCAACGCACCUGGCGAAGAGGGCGCACUAAGAUCUGCUCCUGACACUGAGAACAAACGCAAGAAGAGAAACGUCUAACGGGAAAGCGACGCCCUGAGCGCACGGAACCCGGCUCGGGCUCAGCCGCCCCGCCGCGUCUACGCGAGCCCCCAGUCUCCCCACGGAGUCCCCGCCCACGGCGCGCUGCGGGUCCCCGAGGCGAGGCAGACCCCGGCCUGGCGUCCUCGGCCCGCGGCGCCGCCUGCCGGCGGAGCGGGCGGAAAUGGUGGGAACCGGCGUCCAGCGAUCCCUCCUUCUCCAGCGGCGCCGCCCCACGCCCCGCCCCGCCGGGCCGCCGCCCAACCCCGCGAACGCCGUCCCCGCAUACGCGCCGCGGACGGGGAAGCUACCCGGAGCCUCGCUCCCGCUGGCUGCCCAGACCGCGUGGGCGGAGCCCCGACCCCGGGCUCUGCGCGUUCCGAGGUGUUCCCAGGAACGAAGGCAGCGCUGCAGGCCUGCGCCCCGCGCCCGCGUCCCCGAGCGCCAGCCCCCGCGGCCACCGUCACGCUCAGUGGGGGACACGCCCGCACACGGAGGCCCUCGGCGUGAGAAACGUCUGUGCCCCCGCCCCCCGGACACAGCUCGGGCCCGGGACUCGAACGUGCCCACGUGGCCUGUACUCUGCCCGGAAAGCCCGCGAAUGGAAGCACCGGGUGCGGGGAGGAGAGAACCGGGCUCAGCGAGCGCGGCCUGCGCGGGGGGGCGCCUCCGGCCGCUGGGUAGUUGGGAGGGUCGCGUAGCCACGGAGCAAACAUGGGGGAAAACCAGAGUCUAGAAGCGGCGGUUCUGCAACGAGAGGAGACAGCCGGUGGGACUCCGCAAAUGUUCUUUUUCCACGCUGUUGCGAUGAAAAAUGUGUGAUCAACAACAACUGGGACAGAAGGGAAUUUCCUCCGUUUUCUGGGCACUUAAGCUCGAUGGGAGCCUUUUUGUCACUCUGCAGACUCAGUCUCACACCCACUCCCGCGGGCACCCACCUGGCCUCUGACCCUGGAGCAGAAAGAACAGAGGUCGUGCCAAUGAGGUCCAAACUCCUGCGCUAGUCUGAUGAGCUGGGACAAUGCCCACCUGCAGCAUUGGGUGUCUGAGAUCUCCCAGGCCAACAGCCCAGAAAACAGCAGCAUCCCUCGGAAACUGAAUCAACCUUCCUGGGCACACAUGACUGCAAAUAAACUAUUAUUGUAUAUUAAAUAAAUAUUAAGUAGGAACCACUUACCAAAUAUGGACGUCUUGAAUACAUAGUGAACAAAUCGUUUGAACAGGUGUGUGCCAGGCCCUCACAUAAGGAUAUUAUCAUUUGCCCCCUGGGAGAUGGGCAUCAUUAAUUCUAUUCACAGGUGAAGAAACUGUGAAGUGUGUAAAUGCCUCUGGAAGAGCAGUUUUGGGGAGAGAGCAUGGCACCUCCUGGCACGGUGGCUCAGGC